rnacentral:rRNA from 1 species
ACUCCGUGCCAGCAGCCGCGGUAAUACGGAGGGGGCUAGCGUUGUUCGGAAUUACUGGGCGUAAAGAGUACGUAGGUGGUUUGCCAAGUCCGAUGUGAAAUCUCCUGGCUUAACUGGGAGGGUGCAUUAGAUACUGGCAGGCUUGAAUGUGGGAGAGGAGAGCGGAAUUCCUGGUGUAGCGGUGAAAUGCGUAGAUAUCAGGAGGAACGCCUGUGGUGUAGACGGCUCUCUGGACCAUUAUUGACACUGAGGUACGAAAGCGUGGGUAGCAAACAGGAUUAGAUACCCUGGUAGUCCACGCCGUAAACGAUGAGUGCUAAGUGUUAGGGGGUUUCCGCCCCUUAGUGCUGCAGCUAACGCAUUAAGCACUCCGCCUGGGGAGUACGGCCGCAAG